rnacentral:rRNA from 1 species
GACGAACGCUGGCGGCGUGCCUAACACAUGCAAGUCAACUUGACGGAAGGAGCAAUCUGACCGUAGAGUGGCGCAAGGGUGCGUAACGCGUAAGUAACUUGCCCCAAGGUAAGGAAUAACGUCGAGAAGUCGGCGCUAAUACCUCAUAAUGCAGCGGAUCCGCAUGGAUAUGUUGUUAAAAGGUUUACCGCCUUGGGAUAGGCUUGCGUCUGAUUAGCUAGUUGGUGUGGUAACGGCACACCAAGGCUACGAUCAGUAACUGGUCUGAGAGGAUGAUCAGUCACACUGGAACUGAGACACGGUCCAGACUCCUACGGGAGGCAGCAGUGAGGAAUAUUGGGCAAUGCUCGAAAGAGUGACCCAGCAACGCCGACGUGGAGGAUGAAGGUAUCUAUAUCGUAAAACUCCUGUGAGAGCAGACGAAAGACAGAUUAUUAACCUGGAUGACUGUAUGCUCAGAGGAAGCCCCGGCUAACUACGUGCCAG